AUUGAACGCUGGCGGCAUGCUUUACACAUGCAAGUCGAACGGUAACAGGCCGCAAGGUGCUGACGAGUGGCGAACGGGUGAGUAAUGCAUCGGAACGUGCCCAGUCGUGGGGGAUAACGCAGCGAAAGCUGCGCUAAUACCGCAUACGAUCUAUGGAUGAAAGCGGGGGACCGUAAGGCCUCGCGCGAUUGGAGCGGCCGAUGUCAGAUUAGGUAGUGGGUGGGGUAAAGGCUCACCAAGCCAACGAUCUGUAGCUGGUCUGGGAGGACGACCAGCCACACUGGGACUGAGACACGGCCCAGACUCCUACGGGAGGCAGCAGUGGGGAAUUUUGGACAAUGGGCGCAAGCCUGAUCCAGCAAUGCCGCGUGCAGGAAGAAGGCCUUCGGGUUGUAAACUGCUUUUGUACGGAACGAAAAGGCUCUGGUUAAUACCUGGGGCUCAUGACGGUACCGCAAGAAUAAGCACCGGCUAACUACGUGCCAGCCGCCGCCGUAAAAC
rnacentral:rRNA from 1 species